UACGGAGGGAGCUAGCGUUGUUCGGAAUUACUGGGCGUAAAGCGCGCGUAGGCGGCUUUGUAAGUUAGAGGUGAAAGCCCGGAGCUCAACUCCGGAACUGCCUUUAAAACUGCAUCGCUUGAAUCCAGGAGAGGUGAGUGGAAUUCCGAGUGUAGAGGUGAAAUUCGUAGAUAUUCGGAAGAACACCAGUGGCGAAGGCGGCUCACUGGACCGGCAUUGACGCUGAGGUGCGAAAGCGUGGGGAGCAAACAGG
rnacentral:rRNA from 1 species